UUUCUUUUAUGGAGAGUUUGAUCCUGGCUCAGGACGAACGCUGGCGGCGUGCCUAAUACAUGCAAGUCGA
rnacentral:rRNA from 1 species